UGGAGGCAUUUGGGUAACAUUCCUUUUAUAUAACAGCACGAACUUCAUCUGAAGGAAGAAACAGUGCAGCUGUAGAAACGGGUUUUCAAGGUGUUAACACGAGGAAAAUGUGCUCACCAUGUAGUUAUCAUGAUGAUUGGCCAAGAGGUAGAUGGGACUGUUGUUGAAGGAGGCCCACACCUGUAAGCCCAGGGCCUUGCUUGCUGUUCAUUUGUGUCAACUGAUUAUUGCUGAUGACCUAGAAUCAUCCACUUCCUAUGAUGUCUACUUCUCCAGAGGCAACAGGCAGAAAGGAGACUUCAUCAGCAUCUCCCAUAGGAUGGGCCAUUCCAUUCCUGAAUGAUUGAAUGGGACCAUUACAGGCAAGAAGAAAGUCAAGCUUCAAUAACUCCUACUUUGUCAUCAGAGGUCCCACUGUUUGGAAUAAUGUAAGGGUGGGUUCAUUUCAGCCUGGAGAAGCUGGGCUCAAUGGGACCAAUGAAGUCACAGUCAAGAACUUACUGAGAUGGAGGAAGGACAAAGGAAGAAACUAUAGAUUACAAGAAAGAAAUGGAGAUAAGAAUGAAGAAUGUGAAGAGAAAGGGGAAUACAGUGGGAAGAGAAACCAGAAGAAAAUGGGAAGCAGCCACAUGAGGAGUUACUUGCCCCUACAGGCUCACACUUAUCCCUCACAUCCAUUUCCAGCUUUCCUUCCGAUGCUGGAGCCUCGUCAGUUUGGAGCCUGAUUACCAUAGCUGACACAGCAAAGAGCCUGCCUAUUUUUAGACUAAAUUAAUCAUUUCGCGUGAUAUUUUUGGUUCAGAUAAUGGCUGGAGAGCACAGCAGCUUCUUCGUUAGCUGCCAAGAAGAAUGUAAACAAGGUUGGAUCGCUGCUUGGCAGCUUCUAUAUUAGGCUCUGCCAUUGUGAAGCCAAAUUUCCUAAAGAGAAAACUCUCUUGUAUCCAAUGGAAGCUUUCAGAUGCUCAACCAGUCAAGUAAUGAAUUAGCUGAAUGAAUUUGGUACCACUUUGACCACUUGUUCUCUUUGCUCAGUUUCUUCUAAUUAGGGAAUUUUUUAAAUUGGAACUAUUGACCUGUGGCUGGAAUCUCACUUAUUAUGGGGCACAGCCUGGGGAGUUGCAGAAUACUUAUCAGUUUUUAACCCCUGGAUGCCAGCAGCACCUCUAGCCAAAAUCUUUCUCCAGCCCUUUCAAAAUGACUCCCAGGGUAUUCCUAACUGUGAGCCACUGGUUUGCAUCAAUAAAACCAUAAUAAUGUCCCACAAAUCAUUUCAUCAUAGACCUCUAACUCCCUUAUGUCAGAAAGACUCACAAAAUAGUAGCUUCUUCACAUUCCUGGAUUCUUAUUGUUGCCAUUGCUUAUUGAAAUCCCAGUCAUAGCUUUGCAGGAUACGUCUGGUCUCUCUCUGUUCCAAGCAUGUACUAUCAUCCACCCAUAAGAACUCAGAAAACCAAAUGUAAAUGCUUACUCUUUUGUAUAGAAAGUGCAAGAACACUAGGAAGAUGGGAUAAUAGGCUGACCACAGUCCUAGCUCCUUGGUAUAUCCUGGACUGGCUUGCUUAUCCAUUUCAUGAAUAAUCUUUUAGCACUGUGCCAAAGGUGGCAUGCUCUUCUCUAGGAAGUGAGUUAAGUCCCAUUGUAUUGACCAAAUUAAGUGCCCCUGGACCCAGUGCUCAUCAAAGGAGCCAUUUCCUGCAAUUCUAGACUAGUGUAUCUCAAGUUACCACUUCCCACUCUAAGAGUUAUCUAGUCAUAGCAUGACUGACAGUAGGAAUACCCAUGAACAUCUCUUCCCACGGUUUGAUGUUGCAACCUCAGAAAGACAAUCAGCCAAUGAACUGACAACAGAGCCUGUCUAUGUCUGAGAUAUACAGGGCAUAGACCAUCCAGAGAAAAUACCCUAAUUUCUCUUUAUAUAGGCUAAAUUCACUGUGGAAGAAAACCCCAUGAUAAAGUAAUUAUAAUGAAACAAAAGUUUUCAUUGGAACCCAGAGAAAACAUAUGACCUGUUGGUAAAGGAGACUACAGAGCCAAGUGGAAGCAUAAGCAAUGAUUAUGAAGGGUGAACAGAAGUUAUCCAGAUAGAAUUCAUAGAGUGCUGAAGCUAUGCCAGACACUAUCUCUAAAGUAAAUGCAGACAACCUACUCAGACAUUAUGAAUGGCUCAAGAAUAAAGACUGUCAAGAUUGUGAAGUAUAGGACAGAGAGCAAAUGAUUCUAUAUUUGACCCAUGAAAACUAGAAGCUAUAAUGAAAUCUAGAAGCUAUAAUGAAAUGAGUGAAUUUCAGAAAAAUUAUACCAAGACUCACCUGAGCCACCGUAUCAUGGCUCCUGAGGUAAACUAAUCAUGCUAUGACUAGAUAACUCUUAGAGAGGGCAGUGGUUUCUGUUUUAUGGUUUAAAAGUAACUCUUACCUUUUCCAACCAUUAAGGAACACUUGCAACUGUUAUACAUAAAAUCUACCUUGCAUAUGUUAGGACAGACUGAAAUCAGAGGUUACUAUCAGAAUGAUGGGAAGGAACUGUGUCUGGAACCAGACUGUCCCAAACAGUUGGCUCAUUUUGAACUCCUAAAGGACCCUGAGUAUGACACAGUAUAGCUUCAGGCCCCACAGUGACCUUUACCCUAGAGAAAGCAACCCACACAUGCUCAGGAACUAAAGCCAACCAUCAUGAGUAAAUGUUUAUGUCUCCCUAAAUUUCAUGUCGAAAUCCUAAGACUCACUGUGCUGUAAUUGGGUGAUAGGGGUCUUUAGGUGGUAACUAAUUAGGUCAUGAAAUCACAAAGCUAUUGUAAUAAAGUUGGUACCUUUAUAAAAUAACUGCUUUUCCACAUUAUGAUGCUAGAGAGAAAACUGAGCAAUCUGUAUGCCAAAAGAGAGCGGUCAGCACAACCCAAGUCUACUGGAACCUUCAUAUCAAACUUCCUUUUAUGUAAAAUAUGUUUGUGUUUAAGCCACUUAUCAUGGCAGUGUGCUAUACUAUUCCCAAAGGACUAAUAUUGACUUUUUGCUUGUCUCCUUCCCUACACUAAGGGAUCAGAUUAGUUCAUUCCCAUGGGCUUCUAGAAAAGAAAGACACCUUUCCUUUUGUUCACGAGAAAGCUACAGAAGAGAGAGCAGGAACUAGGUCCCACCGGGAAUCAAUUUUCCUCUAUAGAAAUGGCUACAACCUCAGAUACCCAGAAAGAGAUUGUGAAAGCCCUUAAAAGCUAAGAAGCCUUAUAAACUCACACUGAACUGUUAGGCUUGGGUGAAAACAAAUGUGUACCCUUCCUCUAGUCAAGGCUAGCUGAGGUUUGGGGCUGCUGAGAGUUCUGAUGUUUAGUAAGGGUUGUACAUCCACAGGUGUGCUACCAGUUGAGAGCCUUUAAGAUUCCAGAAACAGAAACGCAGCUAGAUUUGGCUGCGUUUAAAAGAAACAGGAAGAAUUUGUUAACUCCUGUGAAACAAUUUUGGCAGGUGCAUUUCUGCUCUGUGAUAGGUUUAAGGCAGGAAGAAAACAAAAACAAAAACAAGAAAACGAUGAGGGCUUUCUGUCCUUUCAUCUUCUGUUGUUCUACCAAUGUGUUAGUACUUUUCUGUUGACAUUAGUUUAUCUCAUGUAGCAAAGACCAUGGCCAUUGGCCCGCCAACAGAACAUUCUUGGAUGAAAAGCCUCUUCCUUCAUCUCUUACUCAAAAUAACCACAGGGUAAGAUGCUGACACUGAUUGAUCUGGCUUAGGCUAUUGGCUGAGUCCUGGCCCAAUCAGGUCUGGAUUUUGAGGUGUUAUAAUUGGCACAGGCUGAAUCCAACAAGUGCUGACUUCUGGGGUCACAGCACAGAAGCUAUUUCUAUUAGUUCUUAUAAGUGAUGAUUCCUAUUACUAUGUAAACCAGAUCCUUGAUGUGGAAAACUUAUCUUUCAUCUGCUAAGGGAUUUUGUACUGAUAAGAUAUCACUUGGCUCUUACUGGUUAUGCCUUGCUCAUCGAAGAUCAUUUCCAUUCAUGCAUACAAAAGUGUAUAUGUGUAAUGUACCCUUGGAUGUGUGAGGAGACAGAGAAAAACUCACUGUCUAGCCUAUAGAUAGUCAUUUUAAGGCCUUUGCAAUCUAACAAUUAUUUGAAACCUAAAAAAUCAAAAAUCUACUUUCUCCAUCCCCUUUCAGAAUUUCUAUAUUCCAUUUGUAUGAAAUUUCAUAUGAAUUUAUCUUUAACUACCUUUAUACUAUUUUCUUUGUAAUUUGUCUAGGCUCCUCUAUGAUGACAUGAGUACACAGAGAUAAAAGAUUAAAUCAGACAAACAACACUCAUUCUUCUUAUUAAAAAAUUUUCUGUUUACCUGUUUCUAUUCUAGCCGUCUUGCUUUCCUAUCGGUGCAUAUCCAUGAACAAGCAUACCCUGUCUCUAGCUCUUACAGCACAUAAUUUAUAAGCACUUCUUCAGGCAUACUGAAGGAUUAUUUAUUUGAAAUUAUCUGGCUUCUCUUUUAUCCCAGGCUGGCCAGCAUGUGCCACCACAACAGGCAUUAAUUUUCUUUUAUACAAUUUCCCUCUUUUAAUUGAUGGUUCCCAUCAAUUUAUAAUAUGCCAACAUACAAAUGUAGUCUUCCAUCUUCAAAAAUAUCAUUCUCUUAACUCCAUGUCUUUCUCUAAAAACUGCCCCAGUUUUUUGCUCCUUACAGACUCAUUACUUUAAAAGAAUUAACAGUUGUAUCUGUCUCCAAUUUUUCUCCAUGUUCUCUUUUGACCUAUCAAAUCAACAUUUGUCUUUCCCAUCUGCUAAAACUACUUUUGUCAACUUUACCAGCAUCUUUCAUCUUGCCCAAUCUAGUGAUAAUUGUGCUCAUGCUAUUGAUUCUUAAAUAUCAUUUCAUAGUUGCUCACCUUUCCCUUCUAGAAAGACCUUCCUUUCUUGGCUCUGAAACCACACACUCCUCUGGUUCUAUUCUUGCUGACAUGGCUGCUUCUUCGAAUUCUCCUUCAAUGGAUGCCUGCUUGUUCAUAACUACUAACUACAGCAAUUAGCUUGGCUUUUCUUUCACUCUACGUGUCUUUAGGACACGUAUCUGUGGCUUUAAGUAAAAAUUCUCAUGUUCUCUAUGGUACUUUUGACUUCUCCCUUGAUCCCUGGCUUGAGAAGACAAACACUCCCAUAACCUGCCUAGUAAUUACUUGUACUUAUUACUACAUCCCAAAGGGGACUUUCCCACCUCUACUUCACACUUGCUCCCUUCCAGUUGGCCUUAUAAAAUUUAAUGAUAUCACCAUUCACCCAGUUGCAUAGGUCAUAAAUCUAAGACUCUCUUUUGUGUUCCCUUUGUGAUCCCGGGUCUCAUCUGUGCUAUGUAUGAGAAAAGGCAAGUACUUUCCCACUGCACCCCAACACUACACUAAAAAUCUCAGAGGUAGUUUUAAUUCUUCUCUUUUCCUAACACUCAACACCCAAGUGUCAGCAAGCUCUGCUGGCUGCCGCCAAGACGCCUUCUGAACGGGAGCUUCUCUCAUCACCUCCACUGCUGCCAAUCAGUGCCUGGUACCCAUCAUAUCUAUGCUCUUUGCCCUGCCUCAGAACUUCUCUUCUACAGUUCAUUCUUCAAAUAGUAGCAGUAGCAGUCACCAAAACACAUUCGACUAACACCUGCUUCUUGUUUGCCAAUAUAAAAUUAUUUUCCCCGGUAUUUUUAAUUAAAUCAAAAUCCCUAAUGACCACCAUGAUCUUUCCACUUCCUGUCUAUCCUCUCUUCUACUGUCCUUUCUCUUUUGCAAAUGUUCUAACCGUCCUGGUCUGUGUGCAGUCCUUGUUCUAUGACGAGUUAGUUCUGAUUCCAGGCCCUUUAAUCUGAGUUUUCUUUUUAGGAAGUUCUAUUUUACCUUAUUGAUUCCUGAACUCCCUUCUUACCAUGCAAGUAUUCAUGCAAAUGUCCCUUUCAUAGGGAUCACUUCCAUAGCAAGCCUUUAAACAGAAGUCACAUUUGGGACCUCAUGCAAUGGCCAUCAAAUAGCAAUGUUCUACUGUCUUUAUAGUACAGUACACUGAACUUACUAGGCAUAUAUUCAUUGUACUUUAAUUGUCAUUAAGGUAAUGCAUUACAUAAUUAUAUUUCCAUCAUGUGUAUAGUCAUAUAAUAUAAAUUAGUUA
rnacentral:lncRNA from 1 species